rnacentral:rRNA from 1 species
GACAGAGGGUGCAAACGUUGUUCGGAUUUACUGGGCGUAAAGCGCGUGUAGGCGGCUUUGCAAGUCGGAUGUGAAAGCCCACGGCUCAACCGAGGAAGUGCAUCCGAAACUGCAUGGCUUGAGUCUCGGAGAGGAAGGUGGAAUGCUUGGUGUAGAGGUGAAAUUCGUAGAUAUCAAGCGGAACACCGGUGGCGAAGGCGGCCUUCUGGACAGUGACUGACGCUGAGACGCGAAAGCGUGGGGAGCGAACAGG